rnacentral:lncRNA from 1 species
GCAAAAACCUAAAAGGGAUUUUCGCAAUAUUUUUUGGGAUUUUUUAUGAAUUUAGGGAAAUGCGGCAAUAGUAGAGUUGGGUCAGAUUAUGUAAUAUAUUGAAAAUUAAGUAUUUGAAAUAUCGGUUUAGGCGGAUAAGUGCAAAAAGGAGGAAGGUGGAUUUUUAACAACUUUUUGGAUAUUUUUUGAGAAUUUUUCU